GUAACAACAACAACAACAUAAUCACAUUAUACUCUCCAUUUUUUAACUAAUUUUUUUUUCUAUUAUAUACAGAGCUGUAAGGAACAUCCUUUUCUUUGAGUUGAACCAUAUGAAAUUGUUAUUUUUUCCAAAUCAAAAGAUGCUUGAAUAUAGACAAUUUUAUGUAGCUGAUCCUAAUUCUGUUGUUUGUAUGCCAACACUGACUUUUAAUUUUUGACUGAGCAAUGGACAGGAAAUGAUAUCUGAUUAUUUUUACUUGGAUUUACCUAUUGUUAGUGAAGUUAAACUAUUUUCACGCAUUCAUUGGCCACCUGGAUUUCCUCUAAUGUAAAUUUCCUACCGAUGUUUGUGCCCAUCCAGAAUAGGGGAAAUGAAUAAAGCAUUUCUUUAAAAAUUGAUUGCGGACAUGUUCAUGGAGUUGGAGAGUGAAUAGCCUUGAUAAGUAUUGGAGUUCUCCCAAAAUGUAGUAAAACUUUUAAUGGCCACAAAUUCCUCCCAUUCUAUUUUGCAUGCUGCUUUGCAAUGUGAUUUUGCCUCUCUUCUCAGCCAAAGAUGGUGUCUGUUUCUCCAUUCCCUUGAACCUGGGCUGGCCUUGUGACUCGCUUUGACCUAUGGAAUGUUGUGGAAAUGAUGUUGCCUAAGUUCCAGAGCUUAGGCUUCAAGAGGUCUUCAAACUUCCAUCUUCACCCUCUGAGAACUCUGCCUCCAAGACUGCCAGGUUUUGCCAAAGUUCCUAAACUGUGCAAGCUGAGGUGCCUUGGAGCAAACGUUGACACUUGACAUCUUUUGGAGACCAUACAAACUUCCAGUUCCAGGUUGCAAAGCACGUGUGGCUCAUUCUCAACACAUUCUUGAAAGCAGCAGCGACUUCUGAAACCCACCUCUUUUCUGCACAUCAGUUCUCCAACAGGGACAUAAACACUGUCCCCAAAGCUCUACUAUUGGGGUUGCAGUCCAUCUACCACUCAUGCGGAUGUUUGAGUGCUUUCAUGUGGAACUUCCAGUAAGUUCCCGGCUC